UACGUAGGGGGCGAGCGUUGUCCGGAAUUAUUGGGCGUAAAGCGCGCGCAGGCGGUUUUUUAAGUCUGAUGUAUAAGUUCAAGGCUCAACCUUGGGACGCAUUGGAAACUGGGGGACUGGAGUGUAGGAGAGGAAAGUGGAAUUCCACGUGUAGCGGUGAAAUGCGUAGAGAUGUGGAAGAACACCAGUGGCGAAGGCGACUUUCUGGCCUAUAACUGACGCUGAGGCGCGAAAGCGUGGGGAGCAAACAGG
rnacentral:rRNA from 1 species